CCUACAGGGGACAGCAGUAGGGAAUAUUGCUCAAUGGGGGAAACCCUGAAGCAGCAACGCCGCGUGCAGGAUGAAGGUUUUCGGAUUGUAAACUCCUUUUGUUACAGAGGAUAAAGACGGUAUCUAACGAAUACUCACCGUCUAACUCCGUGACAGCAGCCGCAGUAAUACGGAGGGUGCAGGCGUUACUCGGAAUCACUGGGCGUAAAGAGCGCGUAGGCGGGAUAGAAAGUCAGCUGUGAAAUCCUAUUGCUUAACCAUAGAACUGCAUUUGAAACUGUUGUUCUAGAGUACGGGAGGGGUAGGCGGAAUGUUUGGUGUAGGGGUAAAAUCCGUAGAUAUCAAGAAGAAUACUCAUUGCGAAGGCGGCCUGCUAGAACAUAACUGACGCUGAUGCGCGAAAGCGUGGGGAGCAAACAGGAUUAGAUACCCGGGUAGUC
rnacentral:rRNA from 1 species